rnacentral:lncRNA from 1 species
ACUUCCGCUGGCGUCAGGCGGGUGGGCUGCUGCGAUCACUUCCCGGUUGGGGCGCCGAGCUCCGGAGUCGGCCGCCAGCCUUUGGGCCCCACGCUCCGGGUCUGGUGCGCGGUCUGGCCGCGCUCGGGCCCUCGCCAAAUGAGAGCGCAGCGCCUCUCCGCCUUCGGAUCCAGAGAAAGAGCUUGUUGCUGCCUCUAAAAGGUUGGAGCCUUAGUAAGCGGUUCCUGCCUUUCCUGCACAGACCAGACCGCCGGGUGCUGGUCUGCGCUCUGCCGCGCGCCGACUGGGACAGCCCACCCACGAGAUCCUUGUUCCUGAAAUCCCUUUCCUUCCCUCAUCUGCCAAGAAAACUUUCAACUUUUGGGCUCUCCGCGCCUCCCAAGCUUCCUCGAAUCCCUGGGCCCUUGACUGUUCUGCCCUGAUGGCACUUGGUGAGAGAUCCAUUGAGAGCCCUUUCCGUGCCUUCCUGAAUAUUGAUAUGUUUUCCAGCCUCUCCUCCUGCGCUGGCCCAAGGACUCAUUUUCCGUCCCUGCUUCCUCACUAAAAAGAGGGUGCCCAAUAAUUGCUUGUUCCAUACAGAAGGCAGGGAGGCCGUCUCUAGGUUUUCUCCCACUCAGAUCUGCUGUCCUCACAGCCACCUCCCCAAGAGGAAUGAAGUUAGGGAAAUUGACUCGACUCGGAACUCGAGGACCUUUCACAAGAGACCACUGGGUUAGGGGGCAGAGCUGGUAAUAGAAUCCAGCGCUCCGAACCCUGAAUCAUGUCCUCUUUUUGCUGCUGAGGCUCAGGCCACAGCACCCCAAAUUAUGACUGUAGAAUACCAAAAUAUGCUAUCCCAAAAUACACUUGUUUGGCACAUUUCAAGCUGGUUAUUCUGAGAAACUGCAGACACGGGAGUAGCUCUGAAAAGCUGUCCUUUUGUAAAGCAAAUUUACAUCUAUAAAGGAAGUCCACAUAGUAAAAGUAUCUGUGUCAGGAAGGCAGCUGCUCAGAGAACUUUUAUUACAUGAGAGACUUUACAUAACAAGGCAACUUUUUUUUUUUUUUUUUUUUUUUUUUUUGAGGCAGAGUCUCGCUCAGUCGCCCAGGCUGGAGUGCAUUGGCAUGAUCCCGGCUCACUGCAACCUCCGCCCCCCGGGUUCAAGCGAUUCUCCGGCCUCAGCCUCUGAAGUAGCCGGGAUUACAGGCGCGCGCCACCGCGCCCGGGUAAUUUUUGUAUUUUUAGUAGAGACGGGGUUUCACCAUGUUGGUCAGGCUGGUCUCGAACUCCUGACCUCGUGAUCCGCCCACCUCGGCCUCCCAAAGUGCUGGGAUUACAGGUGUGAGCCACCGCGCGCAGCCACAAGGCAACAUUAUUUACCAUACAUUUCCUCCACUAACCCUCCUAUAUCCUACCUGUGGUGCCUCCCCACUGUCCCCACAGAAGCCCCAAGCCCUUAUUUAUUUCUAGCUCAGAAUGCUAUAAGCUUCAAUCAUCUGGCCCUUCAUGUUUUGUGAGAUUCCUGUGCUGCUGCGUAUGCAGGUAAUUAAAACGGUUUUUCUUCUGUUAAUCUGUCUUAUGUCGGCCAGGCGUGGUGGCUCAUGCCUGUAAUCCCAGCACUUUGGGAGGCCGAGGUGGGCGGAUCACGAGGUCAGGAGUUUGAGACCAGCCUGACCAACAUGGUGCAACCCCAUCUCUACUAAAAAUACAAAAGAAGUAGCCGGGCGAGGUGGUGCGCACCUGUAAUCCCAGUUACUCAGAAGCUGAGGCAGGAGAAUCGCUUGAACCCAGGAGGCGGAAGUUGCAGUUAGCCGAGAUUGUGCCACAGCACUCCAGCCUGGGCGACAGAGCAAGAUACCGUCUCAAAAAAAAAAAAAAAAAUCUCUGUUAUGUCAAUUUAAUUUGCAAUCCAAGUAAAGAACCUAGAAGGGUAGAGGGAAGCCAUUUUUCCCUCCCCUACAUUGCUAGUUCCAUGCCAAUGUGAGAGGACUCUGAGAAUGUGGAUGUCUGCCACCUGGAGAAAGAGUCUUAAUAACCUGGGCACUUGGCCAGGCACGGUGGCUCACACCUGUCAUCCCAGCAUUUUCAGAGGCAAAGGUGGGUGGAUCACCUGUGGUUAGGAGUUCAAGACCAGCCUGGCCAACAUGGCGAAACCCUGUCUCUACUAAAAAUACAAAAAUUAGCCAGGCAGGGUGGUGGGCACCUGUAAUUUCAGCUACUCAGGAGGCUGAGGCAGGAGAAUCACUUGAACCCAGGAGGCGGAGGUUGCAGUUAGCCUAGAUGGUGCCAUUGCACCCCAGCCUGGGCAACAAGAGCAAAAUUCUAUCUCAAUAGAUAAAUAAAUAAAUAACCUGGGGACUUGUAGCCUCUAUUGAAAGGUACCAGAAAAGGAUAAAGCCUGAGUUUUCAAGCCAGGAAGUUGCAAAUUCUAACUCUACCAAGAAGUAGCUGGGUGACCUCCAAGCCUCAGUUUCCUCAUCUUCAAAACCAGGUUAAUAGUGUCAGAGGCAUUUGAACCAGAGAGACUCCAUCUUGAAUAGGGACUGGGUAAAAUAAGGCUGUGACCUGCUGGGCUGUAUUCCCAGGAAGUUAAGGCAUUCUUCGAGGAUGAGAUGGUGGGGGUCAGCACAAGAUACAGGUCACAAAGACCUUGCUGGUAAAAUAGGAUGUAGUAAAGGAGCCGGCCAAAACCCAUCAAAAUCAAGAUGGCGACCAAAGUGAGCUCUGGUCGUGCCCACUGCUCAUUAUACACUAAUUAUAAUUCAUUAGCAUGCUAAAAGACACUCCCACCAGCACCAGGACAGUUUACAAACAUCAGGAAGUUACCCUAUAUGGUCUAAAGGAGGAGGAACCCUCAGUUCUGGGAAUUGCCCAUCCCUUUCGCGGAAAACUCAUGAAUAAUCCACCCCUUGUUUAGCAUAUAAUCAAGAAAUAACUAUAAUUAGUUGAGCAGCCCAUGCUGCAGCUCUGCCUAUGGAGUAGCCAUUCUUUACCUCCUUUACUUCUCUAAUAAAUUUGAUUUCACUUUAUGGACUUGCCCCAAAUUCUUUCUUGCGUGAGGUUCAAGAACCCUCUCUUGUGGACUGGAUGAGGACCCCACUCUGGUAACAAUAUACUUUUUGUCCAGUCACAUUUCUACAUGGCUGUCCAUACUCUGUUGAAUGUAAGCAUAAGAAUGGACAAUUUUGCUGUAUCUUUGGAUCUUCAUUCUGAAGGCUCCCAUGGCAUGUAAAACUAUGAUCAAAUAAAUUUGUAUGCCUUUUUUCCUUUUAAUCUGCCUUGUCGGUUGAUUUUCAGUGAAACUUCAGAGGGUAAAGGGGAAGUUUGCCCUUCACCCCUACAUGGUCAAGCUCAAGAUACCAAAAGACAUCAGCUGAAAAUUCAAUCAACUUGCCUGAAUCAUCCACCCCAAGCUUAGGAAGCAUGCUUGAACCCACCUGGCCAAGGCUGGUUUUGCCGGCCAAAGUCCAAGGCCAAGGCUCCAACCAAAGCCCAGACUUCAGUUGCAGCUCCAGUUCCAGUUCCAGUUCCAGCUCCAGUUCCAGUUCCAGUUCCAGCUCCAGAUCAAAUUUCCAAGGGUGCCCAUGCACACCCACAAAGGAUCUGGAGGAGAGGCCUCUGUCUACCAAUGGGAGGACAGAAGGACUGGUGUGAGCCCUGGGCUGCCAUCUGUUUCUGCAUGGAGCUGGUACCAUUCUUUUCUAUUUAUACAAACAAACAUGAGGCAGGAUCUGUCCAUUAAAAAAAAGAGGCCGGGCACAGUGGCUCAUGCCUAUAAUCCCAGCAUUUUAGGAGGCCGAGGUGGGUAAAUCACCUGAGGUUGGGAGUUCGAGACCAGCCUGGCCAAUAUGGUGAAACCUCUUCUCUACUAAAAAUACAAAAAUUAGCCGAGCGUCGCGGCACAUCUUUAAUCCCAGCUCCUCAGGAGGCUGAGGCACAAGAAUCACUUGAACCCAGGAGGUGGAGGUUGCAGUAAGCCGAGAAAACACCACUACACUCCAGCCUAGGCGACAGAAUGAGGCUCCAUCUUGAAAAGAAAAAGAAAAUUAAAAAGAAACAGUCUAUACAGGCUCAUUCCCUUUCCCCACUCAGAGUUUUUUCAAAGGAAUGUGGCCAGAUCUGGAGGUUUACCUGCCUUCUGGCUCUGAGGACUUUGCAGUUACUAUUUAAGGUCUGGUUAAUAGCUUCCUUUGCAUCGUGGUUGGUUAACAAGAGUAG